UUCGUAGGCGGGAUAUUAAGUCAGUGGUGAAAUCCUACAGCUUAACUGUAGAGCUGCCAUUGAUACUGAUAUUCUUGAAUUCACCUGAAGUAGGCGGAACAUGACAUGUAGCGGUGAAAUGCUUAGAUAUGUCAUAGAACACCGAUUGCGAAGGCAGCUUACUAAAGUGAUAUUGACGCUAAGGAACGAAAGCGUGGGGAGCGAACAGGAUUAGAUACCCUGGUAGUCC
rnacentral:rRNA from 1 species